GAAUGAAAAGUGAAAAAUCACAAUCAGUUUCGACCUGACCAUUUGGUAUAUUAUACCUUCAUUUA
rnacentral:tRNA from 1 species